GGGAACUGAAACAUCUAAGUACCCCGAGGAAAAGAAAUCAACCGAGAUUCCCCCAGUAGCGGCGAGCGAACGGGGAGGAGCCCAGAGCCUGAAUCAGCAUGUGUGUUAGUGGAAGCGUCUGGAAAGGCGCGCGAUACAGGGUGACAGCCCCGUACACAAAAGCGCAUGUGCUGUGAGCUCGAUGAGUAGGGCGGGACACGUGGUAUCCUGUCUGAAUAUGGGGGGACCAUCCUCCAAGGCUAAAUACUCCUGACUGACCGAUAGUGAACCAGUACCGUGAGGGAAAGGCGAAAAGAACCCCGGCGAGGGGAGUGAAAAAGAACCUGAAACCGUGUACGUACAAGCAGUGGGAGCCCCACCACUAAGCCAGUGGUGAACUCCACAUACGCAUCCUUUGCUGAGGAUACGGUUAACGGAGCGAAAGCGACGUUCAACCGCAAAACAAGCAGAGGGGGCUUAGUGGUGGGGUGACUGCGUACCUUUUGUAUAAUGGGUCAGCGACUUAUAUUCUGUAGCAAGGUUAACCGUAUAGGGGAGCCGGAGGGAAACCGAGUCUUAAUUGGGCGUUAAGUUGCAGGGUAUAGACCCGAAACCCGGUGAUCUAGCCAUGGGCAGGUUGAAGGUUGGGUAACACUAAC
rnacentral:rRNA from 1 species